rnacentral:rRNA from 1 species
UACGUAGGGACCAAGCGUUGUUCGGAUUUACUGGGCGUAAAGGGCGCGUAGGCGGCUUAACAAGUCACUUGUGAAAUUUCCGGGCUUAACUCGGAACGGCCAAGUGAAACUGUCAAGCUAGAGUGCAGAAGGGGCAAUCGGAAUUCUUGGUGUAGCGGUGAAAUGCGUAGAUAUCAAGAGGAACACCUGAGGUGAAGACGGGUUGCUGGGCUGACACUGACGCUGAGGCGCGAAAGCGUGGGGAGCGAACAGG